UACGUAGGGUGCGAGCGUUAAUCGGAAUUACUGGGCGUAAAGCGUGCGUAGGUGGUUCGUUGUGUCUGUGGUGAAAGCCCCGGGCUUAACCUGGGAAUGGCCAUGGAAACUGGCGAGCUGGAGUGUGGCAGAGGGGGGUGGAAUUCCGCGUGUAGCAGUGAAAUGCGUAGAGAUGCGGAGGAACACCGAUGGCGAAGGCAGCCCCCUGGGCUAACACUGACGCUGAGGUGCGAAAGCGUGGGGAGCAAACAGG
rnacentral:rRNA from 1 species